GACGAACGCUGGCGGCGUGCCUAAUACAUGCAAGUCGAACGCAGUGGGGACGGGUGAGUAACACGUGGGUAACCUCCCAUCAGAGGGGAUAACACUUGGAAACAGGUGCUAAACCGAGACAGAUGGCUGGACACGCGGUGCAUUAGCAAGUUGGUAAGGUAACGGUUUACCAAGGCCACGAUGCAUAGAGGCCCUGAGAUGUUGAUCGGCAACCCUGGGACUGAGACACUGCCCAGACUCCUACGGUAUGCAGCAGUAGGGAAUCUUCGGCAAUGGACGAAAGUCUGACCGAGAAACUCCGCGUGAGUGAAGAAGGUUUUCGGAUCGUAAAAAUCUGUUGUUAGAGAAGCGGUAUCUAACCAGAAAGCCACGGCUAACUACGUGCCAGCAGCCGCGGUAAUUU
rnacentral:rRNA from 1 species